UACAGAGGUCCCAAGCGUUGUUCGGAUUCAUUGGGCGUAAAGGGCGCGUAGGCGGCCGCCUAAGUCAGACGUGAAAUCCCUCGGCUCAACCGGGGAACUGCGUCUGAUACUGGGUGGCUUGAAUUCGGGAGAGGGAUGCGGAAUUCCAGGUGUAGCGGUGAAAUGCGUAGAUAUCUGGAGGAACACCGGUGGUGUAGACGGCUUUCUGGACCGUAACUGACGCUGAAACACGAAAGCGUGGGUAGCAAACAGG
rnacentral:rRNA from 1 species